ACUCCUACGGGAGGCAGCAGUGGGGAAUAUUGCACAAUGGGCGCAAGCCUGAUGCAGCCAUGCCGCGUGUGUGAAGAAGGCCUUCGGGUUGUAAAGCACUUUCAGUCGUGAGGAAGGUGAGUGUUAAGUUAAUAGCUGCAUUAUUUUGACGUUAGCGACAGAAGAAGCACCGGCUAACUCCGUGCCAGCAGCCGCGGUAAUACGGAGGGUGCGAGCGUUAAUCGGAAUUACUGGGCGUAAAGCGCAUGCAGGUGGUUUGUUAAGUCAGAUGUGAAAGCCCGGGGCUCAACCUCGG
rnacentral:rRNA from 1 species